rnacentral:rRNA from 1 species
AGUCAGUGGUGAAAGUCUUCCGCUCAACGGGAGAACUGCCAUUGAUACUGAUUGUCUUGAGUUAUUAUGAAGUGGUUAGAAUGAGUAGUGUAGCGGUGAAAUGCAUAGAUAUUACUCAGAAUACCGAUUGCGAAGGCAGAUCACUAAUAAUAUACUGACGCUGAUGGACGAAAGCGUAGUUAGCGAACAGGAUUAGAUACCCUGGUAGUCUACGCCGUAAACGAUGGUUACUAGCUGUUCGGCCCGAUUAAGGGCUGAGUGGUUAAGCGAAAGUGAUAAGUAACCCACCUGGGGAGUACGUUCGCAAGAAUGAAACUCAAAGGAAUUGACGGGGGCCCGCACAAGCGGUGGAGCAUGUGGUUUAAUUCGAUGAUACGCGAGGAACCUUACCAGGGCUUAAAUGUAGUCUGACAGGGCUGGAAACAGCUUUUUCUUCGGACAGAUUACAAGGUGCUGCAUGGUUGUCGUCAGCUCGUGCCGUGAGGUGUCAGGUUAAGUCCUAUAACGAGCGCAACCCCUGUGGUUAGUUGCCAGCGAGUAAUGUCGGGAACUCUAGCCAGACUGCCGGUGCAAACCGUGAGGAAGGUGGGGAUGACGUCAAAUCAUCACGGCCCUUACGUCCUGGGCCACACACGUGCUACAAUGGUAGGGACAGAGAGCAGCCACUUCGCGAGAAGGAGCGAAUCUACAAACCCUAUCACAGUUCGGAUCGCAGUCUGCAACUCGACUGCGUGAAGCUGG